UACGUAGGGGGCAAGCGUUGUCCGGAAUCAUUGGGCGUAAAGCGCGUGUAGGCGGCUCGGUAAGUCCGCUCUGAAAGCCCGGGGCUCAACCCCGGGAGGCGGGUGGAUACUGCUGAGCUCGAGUCCGGAAGAGGAGUGUGGAAUUCCUGGUGUAGCGGUGAAAUGCGCAGAUAUCAGGAGGAACACCAAUGGCGAAGGCAGUUCACUGGCAGUCUCCUGACGCUGAGGCGCGAAAGCGUGGGUAGCAAACAGG
rnacentral:rRNA from 1 species